GCACAUAGGGAAUGAAGACACUGCUCAGACUCCUACGGGAGGCAAGCCAGUGGGGAAUAUUGACAAUGGGGCAAGCCUGAUCCAGGCAUGCCGCGUGAGUGAUGAAGGCCUAAGGGUUGUAAAGCUCUUUGUCAGGGAAAGAAACGGUAGAGGCUAAUAUCCUUGCUAAUGACGGUACCUGAAGAAUAAGCACCGGCUAACUACGUGCCAGCAGCCGCGGUAAUACGUAGGGUGCAAGCGUUAAUCGGAAUUACUGGGCGUAAAGCGUGCGCAGGCGGUUUUGUAAGUCUGUCGUGAAAUCCCCGGGCUCAACCUGGGAAUUGCGAUGGAGACUGCAAGGCUAGAAUCUGGCAGAGGGGGGUAGAAUUCCACGUGUAGCAGUGAAAUGCGUAGAGAUGCGGAGGAACACCGAUGGCGAAGGCAGCCCCCUGGGUCAAGAUUGACGCUCAUGCACGAAAGCGUGGGGAGCAAACAGGAUUAGAUACCCUGGUAGUCCACGCCCUAAACGAUGUCUACUAGUUGUCGGGUUUUAAUUAACUUGGUAACGCAGCUAACGCGUGAAGUAGACCGCCUGGGGAGUACGGUCGCAAGAUUAAAACUCAAAGGAAUUGACGGGGACCCGCACAAGCGGUGGAUGAUGUGGAUUAAUUCGAUGCAACGCGAAAAACCUUACCUACCCUUGACAUGUACGGAAGACCGAAGAGAUUUGGUUGUGCUCGAAAGAGAGCCGUAACACAGGUGCUGCAUGGCUAUCGUCAGCUCGUGUCGUGAGAUGUUGGGUUAAGUCCCGCAACGAGCGCAACCCUCGCCUUUAGUUGCCAUCAUUUAGUUGGGCACUCUAGGGGGACUGCCGGUGAUAAGCCGGAGGAAGGUGGGAUGACGUCAAGUCUUCAUGGCCCUUACGGGCUGGGCUACACACGUGCUACAAUGGUGGUGACAGAGGGCUGCUAGGCCGCGAGGCCAUGCUAAUCCCUAAAAGCCAUCUCAGUUCGGAUUGCACUCUGCAACUCGGGUGCAUGAAGUCGGAAUUGCUAGUAAUCGCAGAUCAGCACGCUGCGGUGAAUACGUUCCCGGGCCUUGUACACACCGCCCGUCACACCAUGGAGUUGGUUCUACCCGAAGCCGGUGCGCUAACCGCAAGGAAGCAGCCGACCACGGUAGGUCAGCGGACCGG
rnacentral:rRNA from 1 species